CAGCCGCCGCGGUAAUACGUAGGGUGCGAGCGUUAAUCGGAUUUACUGGGCGUAAAGCGUGCGCAGGCGGCCCGUUAAGACAGGUGUGAAAUCCCUGGGCUCAACCUAGGAAUUGCGCUUGUGACUGGCGGGCUCGAGUACGGUAGAGGGGGGUGGAAUUCCUGGUGUAGCAGUGAAAUGCGUAGAGAUCCGGAGGAACACCGAUGGCGAAGGCAGCCCCCUGGGCCUGUACUGACGCUCAUGCACGAAAGCGUGGGGAGCAAACAGGAUUAGAUACCCUGGUAGUCCACGCCCUAAACGAUGGGUACUAGCCGUUUGGUGCGCGAUAGCGCUGAGUGGCGAAGCUAACGCGUGAAGUACCCCGCCUGGGGAGUACGGCCGCAAGGUUGAAACUUAAAGGAAUUGGCGGG
rnacentral:rRNA from 1 species